rnacentral:rRNA from 1 species
AUAAGUAAAAUCUGCUCAAUGAAAAUUAAAUAGCCGCAGAAUUUUACUGUGCUAAGGUAGCAUAAUCAUUAGCCUUUUAAUUAAAGGCAAGUAUGAAAGAUUUAACAUUUUAGUAACUUUUUUUUACAAACAAUUUUUAAUUUAUACUAAACAUAAAAAUAUGUUUAUAGAUAUAUUAGACGACAAGACCCUAUUGAACUUUACUAUUCGUUAAGCUGGGGCAGCUUUUUAAUAAUUAUUUUAUUAAAUUUAAUAAAUCACUUAAUCCAAUAAAAUUGAAAAUGAACAAGUUACCAUAGGGAUAACAGCGUAAUAAUUCUUUGAAGCUCUUAUUUAAAGAUAAGAUUGCGACCUCGAUGUUGAAUUAAUUUUACUUAACAGCGCAAUAGCUUAAAAAGUGGGUCUGUUCGACCUUUAAAAAAUU